rnacentral:misc_RNA from 1 species
GCAAAAUAAGAUUCAUGGGAGCAUAAUAUUGCAAAACUGUAUAGAAAAUUGCGUGCAAAUAUACAUUAUAUACGUACAAGAGAAUGAAGGGGGGAAAUUAGGAUACCUAGUUGUUAGCAAAAUGUACCAAAAUCCUAGUCUAAAAUCAAACUCUUCAAAUGCCAGGGUAAACACUUUGGUGAAAGCCAAGGAAUUAUAAGCAUGCCAGGGUAAAAUACGCUGGUAAAAUCACCAUGGGCAUGGAGGUUUAGCACUUAGCAUAGCAAAGGAGGUGAAUGGAAAAGGGAUGGAAGAUGAUGGAGUAGAUAUCAAAAUCUCUUAAGAGAACCUAUAAACUUUCAAACCCAACAAUGGUACAUUUUUUUCUGUUUUUUUGGGUCACUCAUGCUUUCUCACGCGCACAAAUGUGGGAUAUGUUGGUGGGUGAUUUUGCAGUAUUGGUUGAAGGGUCAUUGGUGUUGGGAAGCCUCUUAAAAAUGAUGGGUGCACCAUAUUGUGGGUAUAGAAGCAUAAGGACUGUGGGUGCAUGUUGGUAGCUUGGGGCCAAUCUAAAGGAGAAGCGUUGUAGUAUAAUGGCAAGGGUCAAUUUUGCUUGCAAAAUGGCUAGAUUUUGGCCAACGCAGGUCCUCAUUCCAAGCCCAAAGGGUAUGAAAGCUACUGAAUGCUUGGAAGCCCUGGCCACACCUUCACUAAAACGUCCUGGAUUGAACUCAUUUGCAUCAUUCCCCCAUAUACUCUGAUCAUGAUGAACGGCCAAGAUUGGUAUCAAAAGCUCUGUCCCUUUUGGGAUCUUGUAGGCCCCUAGCUCUACAUCUGUUCUCGACCGUCGGAUUGUCGCGAUUGUGGGUGGGUAUAACCGCAGGGAUUCAUUCAGAAUCAUGCUCAGCGUCUUAAGCUUUACAAUAUCGUCUUUGGUGUGUAUGUCACUUGAUCCACACACCCUCAGCACCUCCUCACGGGCUUGCACCUGCCACUGUGGAUGCAUUGCUAGUAAGAUAGUUGUCCACGUCAGCAAAUUGGAUGUGGUCUGUUUGCCAGCAAAGAAAAAGCUCUUGCACUCCUCUACUAUGUCGUUAACGGUUACAUUUGAGCUUGAAUUUGAGGCUUCGAUCAUUAAUCCUAAUAAAUCUUUUGGAUUCUUGACUGUAUUGUUUGAAUUUUCUCUCCUCCAAUCUAUCAAUUUCAUUAGCGAUUUCUUGGUUUCCUUGUCCAGUUUCCAAGAAUUCAUGUUUCGUUUAGUGGGAAAGAACCUAUAACCGGGGAUAAAGACCUUCUGGAAAGCCUCGGCAGCCAGCACCAUUUGCUGUGCCUGCAAUCUGAAAAUGACCUUACCAUCUUCAUAGCUGCUACCAAAUGCAGUUCUCGUAAUGACAUCUUCUGUAAGAGUUUGGAACCACUCUGAAACUUCAAUUUCAACCUCCUGAUCAGAGUUUGACAUUAAUGCUGACCACUGUUCUAGCAUAUCCAUCACACUCUUUGCCACCACAGGCACUAGCAGUUUGAGAUUUUCCAUGUGGAAUGUGGGGGUGAUGAUUUUCCUAUGGUGAGCCCAUUUUUCACCUUUGAGGCUGAGGAGUCCAUCACCUUCAAGCUGUUUAACAAGAGGGUGAGCUUCAAUCUUUUCGUAGAAUUCAGACUUAGUGGUAAAGAUUUCUCGGAUGAGUUCUGGAUCGGAGACGGUGAGUCGAACCGUGGGUCCGAACCACACAAGAAAGGUUGCACCAUAGAUUUUCUUCCAGUGAUGGUAGAAGGAAAGAACUCUAGGGAGUAUGUUGUGCGAGAAAGGCAUAGGCUGAGAAGAAGCCUUCAACAUCAUCUCCAUAAGCUCUUUCACAUUGCCUAUGAAGAAGCGAUAAGGGGGGCCUCUGAUUCCUUGCUUUAAGAAAUGAGCUUCAAUUCUUUUUGGUCUCCACCAAAGCAACACUACCAUCUUUAAAACGAAAACUAAGAACAAGAAAGAGAUGACAGGCAUCUUGAGCCAGUAGAAAAAGAAGAGCUCCUCCAUGUUAAGAGAUAGAGAGAGAGCUUUUCUUUCCUUAGAGACAGAUAGAGCUAGCUAGCUAGCACAGUCUCUCUUCCCUUCUGUUCUCUUUCACUCUCUUCUCUUCUCCUCCUUCCUUAAGAUCAGCACUGGAAGCAGCCUUUUCUGUUUUUGCUUCUUAUCUUCUCUUUCUCUUUCCCACUU